rnacentral:rRNA from 1 species
ACUGCUCAGUAACACGUAGUUAAUCUACCCUUAGAUUCAGCAUAACCACGGGAAACUGUGGGUAAUUCUGAAUAGAAGAUUAGGCCUGGAAAGGCAGAUCUUUGAAACGUUAGGUCUAAGGAUGAGACUGCGCCUGAUUAGCUUGUUGGUGGGGUAACUGCCUACCAAGGCAAUGAUCAGUACGGGCUCUUAGCGGAGUUGCCCGGAGAAGGAAUCUGAGACACUAUUCCUAGCUCUACGGAGUGCAGCAGUCGCGAAUCAUUUACAAUGCACGCAAGUGUGAUAAUGCGAACCAAAGUGUUUUUCGUAUAGAAAAACUUUUUCUUAGUGUAAAAAUCUAGGAGAAUAAGGACUGGGAAAGACCGGUGCCAGCCGCCGCGGUAAUACCGGCAGUUCAAGUCGCAUCCCUUUUUAUUGGGUCUAAAACAUCCGUAGCUUGCCAUAUAAGUCUCUUGUGAAAUCCUACGUCUUAAGCGUAGGGCUUGCAGGAGAUACUGUAUGGCUAGAGAUCGGUAGACGUAAGGAGUACGCCGGAGGUAGUGGUAAAAUACGUUAAUCUUCGGUGGACUAACGAUCAGCGAAGGCACCUUACGAGGACGAAUCUGACAGUGAGGGAUGAAGGCCAGGGGCGCAAAACGGAUUAGAUACCCGUGUAGUCCUGGCAGUAAACACUGCUCACUAAACAUUGGGCCCUCUUCGGGAGGAUUCAGUGCUGAAGCGAAGGCGAAGAGUGAGCUACCUGGGAAGUAUAGUCGCAAGAUCGAAACUUAAAGGAAUUGGCGGGGGAG